rnacentral:rRNA from 1 species
CCUACGGGAGGCAGCAGUGGGGAAUCUUGCGCAAUGGGCGAAAGCCUGACGCAGCCAUGCCGCGUGAAUGAUGAAGGUCUUAGGAUUGUAAAAUUCUUUCACCGGGGACGAUAAUGACGGUACCCGGAGAAGAAGCCCCGGCUAACUUCGUGCCAGCAGCCGCGGUAAUACGAAGGGGGCUAGCGUUGCUCGGAAUUACUGGGCGUAAAGGGAGCGUAGGCGGAUAGUUUAGUCAGAGGUGAAAGCCCAGGGCUCAACCUUGGAAUUGCCUUUGAUACUGGCUAUCUUGAGUACGGAAGAGGUAUGUGGAACUCCGAGUGUAGAGGUGAAAUUCGUAGAUAUUCGGAAGAACACCAGUGGCGAAGGCGACAUACUGGUCCGUUACUGACGCUGAGGCUCGAAAGCGUGGGGAGCAAACAGGAUUAGAUACCCUGGUAGUCCACGCUGUAAACGAUGAGUGCUAGUUGUCGGCAUGCAUGCAUGUCGGUGACGCAGCUAACGCAUUAAGCACUCCGCCUGGGGAGUACGGUCGCAAGAUUAAAACUCAAAAGAGUAAGUAGACGNGAGAGAGCGACGAGACACACGGAGGAGAGG